AUACGGAGGAUCCGAGCGUUAUCCGGAUUUAUUGGGUUUAAAGGGUGCGCAGGCGGCCAUUUAAGUCAGCGGUUAAAUCGUGGGGCUCAACCCCAUUCCGCCAUUGAUACUGGGUGGCUUGAUUGCGGUCGAGGUUGGCGGAAUUCGUUGUGUAGCGGUGAAAUGCAUAGAUAUGACGAAGAACACCGAUUGCGUAGGCAGCUGACCAGACCGCAAAUGACGCUCAUGCACGAAAGUGCGGGGAUCGAACAGGAUUAGAUACCCUGGUAGUCCGCACAGUAAACGAUGAAUACUUGUUUUCGGCGAUAUAAUGUCGGAGGCAAAGCGAAAGCGAUAAGUAUUCCACCUGGGGAGUACGCCGGCAACGGUGAAACUCAAAUGAAUUGACGGGG
rnacentral:rRNA from 1 species